GGACUGCUGAAGAGUCCAAAAAUAGGACGAAACAUCCGUUCAGUGA
rnacentral:hammerhead_ribozyme from 1 species